UGAACGCUGGCGGCGUGCCUAAUACAUGCAAGUCGAACGCUGGAAAUCUAGCUUGCUAGCUUGAAGGAGUGGCGAACGGGUGAGUAAUACAUAAGCAACCUACCCACGAAGACUGGGAUAAUCUCUGGAAACGGGGACUAAUACCGGAUAGGUAAUCGGAAGGCAUCUUCUGAUUAUUAAAGGUUAAAAACACUGGUGGAUGGGCUUAUGGCGCAUUAGUUAGUUGGUGAGGUAACGGCCCACCAAGACGAUGAUGCGUAGCCGGCCUGAGAGGGUGAACGGCCACAUUGGGACUGAGACACGGCCCAGACUCCUACGGGAGGCAGCAGUAGGGAAUUUUCGGCAAUGGGGGAAACCCUGACCGAGCAACGCCGCGUGAGUGAUGACGGCCUUCGGGUUGUAAAGCUCUGUUGUAAGGGAAGAACGGUAGAUAGAGAAUAUCUAAAUGACGGUACCUUACCAGAAAGCCACGGCUAACUACGUG
rnacentral:rRNA from 1 species